rnacentral:misc_RNA from 1 species
GGUCUCUCUACUGAGGAAGGAAGGAAGGACGAAGAUAUCUUCUCAAUUUGAUAAUUCAGAGCUUUCAGAUCGUUUGUAAGAGACUUUGAUCGAUGAGUUGAAAUUAUUGUGGAAUCAAGGUGUGGAAACAUAUGAUGUAUUUCGUAAGCAAAACUUCAUAUUGCGUGCAGCUUUGUUGUGGACUUUAAAUAAUUUUCCUGCUUA